GGCCAGCGGUGGAGCAUGUGGUUUAUUCGAUGCAACGCGAAGAACCUUACCUACUCUUGACAUCCAGAGAACUUAGCAGAGAUGCUUUGGUGCCUUCGGGAACUCUGAGACAGGUGCUGCAUGGCUGUCGUCAGCUCGUGUUGUGAAAUGUUGGGUUAAGUCCCGCAACGAGCGCAACCCUUAUCCUUUGUUGCCAGCGGUCAGGCCGGGAACUCAAAGGAGACUGCCAGUGAUAAACUGGAGGAAGGUGGGGAUGACGUCAAGUCAUCAUGGCCCUUACGAGUAGGGCUACACACGUGCUACAAUGGCGCAUACAAAGAGAAGCGACCUCGCGAGAGCAAGCGGACCUCAUAAAGUGCGUCGUAGUCCGGAUUGGAGUCUGCAACUCGACUCCAUGAAGUCGGAAUCGCUAGUAAUCGUGGAUCAGAAUGCCACGGUGAAUACGUUCCCGGGGCGGUAGUAACACACCGCUGCAGUUUUGGC
rnacentral:rRNA from 1 species